GAUGAACGCUGGCGGCAUGCCUAACACAUGCAAGUCGAUCGGUCAGGCUCUUCGGUUUACACGCGAGCCUUACGGCUGGGUAACUCGUAGACACACACCCUGCAGUGCGGUAUGACACACCUAACUUCGUUCUACUACCGCAUACGGUCUUCGGUUUAAUGCAUUUCUGGGCUGAAUGAGUAGACGGCGUCUUAUUAGAUAGUUUGUGUGGUAAUGGCUCACCAUGUCGAUGAUGUGUAGCUGGUCCGAGAGGAUGAUCAGCCAGACCGGAACGGAGACACAGUAGAGAAUCCUACGGGAGGCAGCAGUGAGGAAUAGUGCAAAAUGGGGGAAAGGAUGAAGGAGCAAUGCUGGGUGAAGGAUGAAGGUAGGCGAGUUGUAAAGUGUUUGUAUAAGAGAAGAUUAUGACGGUAACUAAUGAAUAAGGGACGGCUAACUACGUG
rnacentral:rRNA from 1 species